CAGUAGCCGCGGUAAUACGAAGGGAGCUAGCGUUGUUCGGAAUUACUGGGCGUAAAGCGCGCGUAGGCGGUUACUCAAGUCAGAGGUGAAAGUCCGGGGCUCAACCCCGGAACUGCCUUUGAAACUAGGUGACUAGAAUCUUGGAGAGGUCAGUGGAAUUCCGAGUGUAGAGGUGAAAUUCGUAGAUAUUCGGAAGAACACCAGUGGCGAAGGCGGCUAACUGGUCCAUAACUGACGCUGAGGUGCGAAAGCGUGGGGAGCAAACAGGAUUAGAUACCCCUGUAGUCCCUGUCUCUUAUAC
rnacentral:rRNA from 1 species